GACGAACGCUGGCGGCGUGCUUAACACAUGCAAGUCGAACGGAAAGGCCCUGCUUUUGUGGGGUGCUCGAGUGGCGAACGGGUGAGUAACACGUGAGUAACCUGCCCUUGACUUUGGGAUAACUUCAGGAAACUGGGGCUAAUACCGGAUAGGAGCUCCUGCUGCAUGGUGGGGGUUGGAAAGUUUCGGCGGUUGGGGAUGGACUCGCGGCUUAUCAGCUUGUUGGUGGGGUAGUGGCUUACCAAGGCUUUGACGGGUAGCCGGCCUGAGAGGGUGACCGGCCACAUGGGGACUGAGAUACGGCCCAGACUCCUACGGGAGGCAGCAGUGGGGAAUAUUGCACAAUGGGCGGAAGCCUGAUGCAGCAGCGCCGCGUGCGGGAUGACGGCCUUCGGGUUGUAAACCGCUUUCGCCUGUGACGAAGCUUGAGUGACGGUAAUGGGUAAAGAAGCACCGGCUAACUACGUG
rnacentral:rRNA from 1 species